rnacentral:rRNA from 1 species
CACGUAGGCACCAAGCGUUGUCCGGAUUUAUUGGGCGUAAAGAGCUCGUAGGCGGUUCAGUAAGUCGGGUGUGAAAACUUUGGGCUUAACCCAAAGCGUGCAUCCGAUACUGCUGUGACUUGAGUUCGGUAGGGGAGUGGGGAAUUCCUAGUGUAGCGGUGAAAUGCGCAGAUAUUAGGAGGAACACCGGUGGCGAAGGCGCCACUCUGGGCCGAAACUGACGCUGAGGAGCGAAAGCCAGGGGAGCAAACGGG